UUGACCUCAAAUUGAGCAGGACUACCCGCUGAACUUAAGCAUAUCAAUAAG
rnacentral:rRNA from 1 species